UACGGAGGGUGCAAACGUUGCUCGGAAUCAUUGGGCGUAAAGCGUACGUAGGCGGCCCAGCAAGUCGGGUGUGAAAGCCCUCGGCUUAACCGAGGAAGUGCAUUCGAAACUAUUGGGCUUGAGUACUGAAGAGGAUCGCGGAAUUCCCGGUGUAGAGGUGAAAUUCGUAGAUAUCGGGAGGAACACCAGUGGCGAAGGCGGCGAUCUGGGCAGAUACUGACGCUGAUGUACGAAAGCGUGGGGAGCAAACAGG
rnacentral:rRNA from 1 species